rnacentral:rRNA from 1 species
UACGGAGGGUGCGAGCGUUGUUCGGAAUUACUGGGCGUAAAGGGCUCGUAGGCGGCCAACUAAGUCAGACGUGAAAUCCCUAGGCUUAACCGGGGAACUGCGUCUGAUACUGGUUGGCUUGAGUUUGGGAGAGGGAUGCGGAAUUCCAGGUGUAGCGGUGAAAUGCGUAGAUAUCAGGAGGAACACCGGUGGCGAAGGCGGGUCUCUGGGCCGAUACUGACGCUGAGGAGCGAAAGCGUGGGGAGCGAACAGG